UUAGAGUUUGAUCCUGGCUCAGGACGAACGCUGGCGGCGUGCUUAACACAUGCAGGUCGAACGAUGAACCACUUCGGUGGGGAUUAGUGGCGAACGGGUGAGUAACACGUGGGCAAUCUGCCCUGCACUCUGGGACAAGCCCUGGAAACGGGGUCUAAUACCGGAUAUUGACCUUCACGGGCAUCUGUGAGGUUCGAAAGCUCCGGCGGUGCAGGAUGAGCCCGCGGCCUAUCAGCUUGUUGGUGAGGUAAUGGCUCACCAAGGCGACGACGGGUAGCCGGCCUGAGAGGGCGACCGGCCACACUGGGACUGAGACACGGCCCAGACUCCUACGGGAGGCAGCAGUGGGGAAUAUUGCACAAUGGGCGAAAGCCUGAUGCAGCGACGCCGCGUGAGGGAUGACGGCCUUCGGGUUGUAAACCUCUUUCAGCAGGGAAGAAGCGAAAGUGACGGUACCUGCAGAAGAAGCGCCGGCUAACUACGUGCCAGCAGCCGCGGUAAUACGUAGGGCGGCAAGCGUUGUCCGGAAUUAUUGGGCGUAAAGAGCUCGUAGGCGGCUUGUCACGUCGGUUGUGAAAGCCCGGGGCUUAACCCCGGGUCUGCAGUCGAUACGGGCAGGCUAGAGUUCGGUAGGGGAGAUCGGAAUUCCUGGUGUAGCGGUGAAAUGCGCAGAUAUCAGGAGGAACACCGGUGGCGAAGGCGGAUCUCUGGGCCGAUACUGACGCUGAGGAGCGAAAGCGUGGGGAGCGAACAGGAUUAGAUACCCUGGUAGUCCACGCCGUAAACGGUGGGCACUAGGUGUGGGCAACAUUCCACGUUGUCCGUGCCGCAGCUAACGCAUUAAGUGCCCCGCCUGGGGAGUACGGCCGCAAGGCUAAAACUCAAAGGAAUUGGCGGGAGCCCGCACAAGCGGCGGAGCAUGUGGCUUAAUUCGACGCAACGCGAAGAACCUUACCAAGGCUUGACAUUACACCGGAAACGGCCAGAGAUGGUCGCCCCCUUGUGGUCGGUGUACAGGUGGUGCAUGGCUGUCGUCAGCUUCGUGUUCGUGAGAUGUUGGGUUAAGUCCCGCAACGAGCGCAACCCUUGUCCCGUGUUGCCAGCAAGCCCCUUCGGGGGUGUUGGGGACUCACGGGAGACCGCCGGGGUCAACUCGGAGGAAGGUGGGGACGACGUCACGUCAUCAUGCCCCUUAUGUCUUGGGCUGCACACGUGCUACAAUGGCCGGUACAAUGAGCUGCGAUACCGCAAGGUGGAGCGAAUCUCAAAAAGCCGGUCUCAGUUCGGAUUGGGGUCUGCAACUCGACCCCAUGAAGUCGGAGUCGCUAGUAAUCGCAGAUCAGCAUUGCUGCGGUGAAUACGUUCCCGGGCCUUGUACACACCGCCCGUCGCGUCACGAAAGUCGGUAACACCCGAAGCCGGUGGCCCAACCCCUUGUGGGAGGGAGCUGUCGAAGG
rnacentral:rRNA from 1 species